rnacentral:tRNA from 1 species
GCCAGCAUGGCAUAGUGGUUUGAGUUUGGACUACAACUCUGGAGAUCAGGGUUCGAUUCACUGCUUGGCC